GCCCAGCCUGCCCAGUGAUCAUUUAAACGGCCGCGGUAUCCUAACCGUGCAAAGGUAGCACAAUCACUUGUUCUUUAAAUAAGGACUAGUAUGAACGGCAUCACGAAGACUAUACUGUCUCCUUUCUUCAAUCAGUGAAACUGAUCUUCCCGUGAAGAAGCGGGAAUUAUAAUAUAAGACGAGAAGACCCCAUGAAGCUUCAAAUUAAAUACUAACUACCACCGCAACACCACUAAAUCCUGGUAGAUAUAAUUAUUAAUUUUAGGUUGGGGUGACCACGGAGCACAACAAAACCUCCACAAUGAAAAGGCCUAACCCCCUUAUUCAAGAACAACAAUUCUAACAAUCAACAUAUUGACAUACGUUGACCCAAAUUUUUGAUCAAUGAACCAAGUUACUCUGGGGAUAACAGCGCAAUCCAUUUCAAGAGCCCCUAUCGACAAAUGGGUUUACGACCUCAAUGUUGGAUCAGGGUAUCCCAGUGGUGUAGCCGCUACUAAAGGCUCGUUUGUUCACGAUUAAAACCUACGUGAUCUGAGU
rnacentral:rRNA from 1 species